GUUGUCGUUUGUUUAUGUGUUACAUAUUUGUUUUUCGUUCAUUUUUUUUACACAAAUAAGGCCGUUAGUUUUCUCGUUUGAAUUGUUUUACAUUGUCUUAUCGGGACCUUUUAUAGCUGACUAUGCGGUAUGGGCUUUGUUCAUUGUUGAAGGCCGUAAGGUGACCUAUAGUUGUUAAUGUCUGUGUCAUUUUGGUCUUUUGUGGAUAGUUGUCUCAUUGGCAAUCAUACCACAUCUUCUUGUUUAUAUUGUGUGGAGUGUCGCUGUUUUCUAACAUGUGUGUCUGACUCCUGGUAUCCACGAAUAUGAACGUAUCCAUUUUGAACCUGGUUUGGAACAUCAGUUAAUGUUGUUCUGAUAGAGAUAGAAUUCUGCUGUGUCCG
rnacentral:lncRNA from 1 species